GGGGAUUUAGCCCAGUGGUAGAGCGCUUGCCUAGCAAGCACAAGGCCCUGGGUUCAGUCCCCAGCUCCG
rnacentral:tRNA from 1 species